UGGGGAAUAUUGGACACUGGGGGGAACCCUGAUCCAGCCAUGCCGCGUGUGUGAAGAAGGCCUUAUGGUUGUAAAGCACUUUAAGCGAGGAGGAGGGUACUGGUAUUAAUACUACCAGGUACUGGACGUUACUCGCAGAAUAAGCACCGGCUAACUCUGUGCCAGCAGCCGCGGUAAUACAGAGGGUGCGAGCGUUAAUCGGAUUUACUGGGCGUAAAGCGUGCGUAGGCGGCUAAUUGAGUCGGAUGUGAAAUCCCCGAGCUUAACUUGGGAAUUGCAUUCGAUACUGGUUAGCUAGAGUGUGGGAGAGGAUGGUAGAAUUCCAGGUGUAGCGGUGAAAUGCGUAGAGAUCUGGAGGAAUACCGAUGGCGAAGGCAGCCAUCUGGCCUAACACUGACACUGAGGUGCGAAAGCGUGGGGAGCAAACAGG
rnacentral:rRNA from 1 species